rnacentral:rRNA from 1 species
CAGAGGGUGCGAGCGUUGUCCGGAAUCACUGGGCGUAAAGGGCGCGUAGGUGGCGCUCCAAGUCUGUGGUGAAAGCUCGCUGCUCAACAUCGAGUCGGCCACGGAGACUGGAGGGCUGGAGCACUGUAGGGGCAGAUGGAAUUCCGGGUGUAGCGGUGGAAUGCGUAGAGAUCCGGAAGAACACCGGUGGCGAAGGCGGUCUGCUGGGCAGUUGCUGACACUGAGGCGCGACAGCGUGGGGAGCAAACAGGAUUAGAUACCCUGGUAGUCCACGCCGUAAACGAUGGGCACUAGAUGCUUGGGGGAGCGACCCCCUGAGUGUCGUCGCUAACGCAGUAAGUGCCCCGCCUGGGGAGUACGGCCGCAAGGCUG